GAAUCCCGUCUUUGACACGGACUGCCUGCAUGUUAUGGUGCGCUCUCAAAGAGUCGAGUUGUUUGGGAAUGCAGCUCAAAAUGGGUGGUAAAUGCCAUCUAAAGCUAAAUAUUGGCGAGAGACCGAUAGCGAACAAGUACCGUGAGGGAAAGAUGAAAAGAACUUUGGAAAGAGAGUUAAACAGUACGUGAAAUUGCUGAAAGGGAAACGCUUGAAGUCAGUCGCGUCGGCUAGAAAUCAACCUUGCUUUUGCUUGGUGUACUUUCUUGUUGAUGGGUCAGCAUCAAUUUUGACCGUUGGAUAAAGUCGUUGGGAAUGUGGCAUCUUAGGAUGUGUUAUAGCCCAUCGUCGCAUACAGCGGUUGGGAUUGAGGAACUCAGCACGCCCUUCUGGGGACGGGUUUCGACCACGUUUCGUGCUUAGGAUGCUGGCAUAGUGGCUUUAAUCGACCCGUCUUGAAACACGGACCAAGGAGUCUAACAUGCCUGCGAGUGUUUGGGUGGAAAACCCAUGCGCGCAAUGAAAGUGAAAGUUGAGAUCCCCUCAAGGGGAGCAUCGACGCUCGGACCAGAGCUUCUGUGACGGAUCCGCGGUAGAGCAUGUAUGUUGGGACCCGAAAGAUGGUGAACUAUGCCUGAAUAGGGUGAAGCCAGAGGAAACUCUGGUGGAGGCUCGUAGCGAUUCUGACGUGCAAAUCGAUCGUCAAAUUUGGGUAUAGGGGCGAAAGACUAAUCGAACCAUCUAGUAGCUGGUUCCUGCC
rnacentral:rRNA from 1 species